CAUACGUAACCAGCUCGGGUGAGUGUCCUUUGCUCAACAUCUCUUCGAAGAUCUGGUGGCCUUGUUCCCACUUGCAAGCUUUGAAGAGGCUGUGGACGAGAACGGUGUACGUGACUUUGUCGGGUAAGCAGCCGCUUUGUACCAUUUGUUCGAAGUAGGAGGCCGCCAAGUCUAACUUGUUGAUCUUGCACAGGUGUCCGAUGACGACGGUGUAUAGAAAAGCGUCGGGCUUCACUUUCAUGUCGAUCAUCUGGUGGAAGAUUUGAAGUGCUUUGUUGGUGAAAUUCAGUUCGCAAAGCUUGCGAAUGAGAGAGCCAAAGGUGACGAUGGUGGGAGUAAUUCCUGCGGCCUUCAUCUCCCCAAGAAGAUUUACUGCCUGUGGUAUUUGCUCAGCUUUGCAAAAACCUCUUAUCAAAGUCCCAUAGGUGAAGUCGUCGGGCCUGAAGAGCCUGACAAGCUCGUCUUUGAAGACUCUGUAUGCCUCCCGAUGGCAUCCGUCGUUAACAAAGACCUCCAGGAGGGAAUUGCAGGUGUAAGUGUUGUGCUGGAAGCCUGGACGGGCUUUAGCCCACUGGAAGAAGAGCAUUGCUGCCUGUGGAUUCCUGAGCUUGACGAGAACUCUGCCAACUACCACAGGGACGAGCCGUCUUGAGCCGUAGCACUCGUCCAGAGCUCGAGAUAGGAGAUGUGGGUCUACCGAGUUGGCCAGCAAAACCUUUAUGAGGGCUUCGGCAGCUGCUUGGGCUGCUCGCUCUCGUGCCUUGCGCUCUUGAGCUGCUGCUGCUCCGCCUCCUCCAGGAAGCCUCCAUU
rnacentral:lncRNA from 1 species